AUUCCCUUUCCCGCGCCGAUGAUUGAUAAUACCGCCCCGGUUGCAACCGGGAAUCAGGAGACCUCAUGUUA
rfam:Candidatus Sodalis pierantonius str. SOPE, complete genome.